AUGUCCUUACUCCUUCAGCACCUUAGAGAUAAAGUUCUAGAGCUUAUACAUGCGUUCCUGAUUCGAAGGAAAGGGGACUGUUUCUAGAGCUAAUACAUGCGCCCCGGUUAAAAAGAAAAAAGGUCGUAGUAAGAGACAAACCUGCCAACUACCCAAAAAAGAAAAGGGGGGGUGUCUAAAGAAAUAACACUACAGGACUUUGGAUAUGUAAUUGGAAUGAGUUAAGUAUAAACCUUUACAAGUAUCAAUUGGAGGGCAAGUCUGGUGCCAGCAGCCGCGGUAAUUCCAGCUCCAAUAGCGUAUAUUAAAGUUGUUGCAGUUAAAAAGCUCGUAGUUGGAUGUCUGUUAAUAAUUUAUAUAAAAUAUUUUGAAUAUUUAUAUAACAUUAACAUAAUUCAUAUUACUAUAUUUUAGUAUAUGAAAUUUUACUUUGAGAAAAUUAGAGUGCUUAAAGCAGGCAUAUCCUUGAAUACUCCAGCAUGGAAUAAUAUUAAAGAUUUUUAUCUUUAUUGGUUCUAAGAUAAGAAUAAUGAUUAAUAGGGACAGUUGGGGGCAUUUGUAUUUAACAGUCAGAGGUGAAAUUCUUAGAUUUGUUAGAGACAAACUAAUUGCGAAAGCAUUCA
rnacentral:rRNA from 1 species